rnacentral:miRNA from 1 species
GCUGGCCCUGUGGUCUAGUGGUUAGAGCAGCUAGAGUCCACAUGGCCAACCAAGUAGUUUGAAUCUCAGCC